GUUUACAGUGUUCUGUCAAUUUUCUGCUGUACAGCAUAGUGACCUAAUCUUUUUCUCACAUUAUCCUCCAUCAUGCUCCAUCACAACCAAGGCAUCCUUUUUUGACCUCUACAUUCGCCUAUCCCAAGAUCAGAUUGUUAGAUUGUAUUAGUGGGGCGAGGGGGGGUUAUUCCCAGCCCACCUAUCUUUCAAAAGGCCAGUUCUGCCUAAACACUAACAGAGGUAAUUACCAUCAUCCCUCGGCAUCCAUGGAGGAUUGGUUCCAGGACCCUACGUGGAUACCAAAAUCCUCAGAUGUUCAAGCCUCAUCGUUGGCCCGCCAUACUCCCGGGUUCUGUAUUCGAGGAUCCAAGCCAACCACAGAUCAUGAACAUAGCACACAUGUGCUAUUGGUUGAACCUGCAGAUGUGAACUCCAGAUACAGAGGGCCAACUGCACUCCGAUGUUUGCUUAUUAACUUGAACUCACAAGUGAAGAUAAUUUACCUUUGCCUUUUUAGUCCAACCAAACUCCAUUCCCACCGAAGUCCUGUUAACAUGUAUUAAAAUGCAGAAAGAACCAAAAAAUAGAUUUUAUGUAUAUAUGUAUAUACACACACAAUGCAUAUAUGUGUGUAUACAUGUGUAUACAUGUUUCCUACUUUUAGUAUAUUAGAAGAUACAUAUUUAUAUAUACUUUAAAAAUUAUAUUAAUAGAUAACAAAUGGUAAUGAAGUUUUAAGAUGCCCCAGAAACCUGUGACUGGGAAAUCUGAUCGUUACUCUGGGGAAGAGAGACAGAAGACUCCUUGCCAAGAUCUGCAGCAUCUCUCGCCAUGUUCAAAGUGCUCAUAUGCAAGAAAAAUCGGAAUUACAAAGUGAGAAAGGCAUGUCCUUAACCAACCUCCCCAGAGCUCAUCUGGGAAGAAAGCAAGUCCCUUUCCGCCUGCUUUGCAGACUUUUCUUUUGCACUCUGCAGCCAGCAUUUUCUGUCCGUCUGUCUUUUGUGAGCUGAGGCUGUUUCUUAAGGACUUAAAUCUUGUCCAUCACAAUAAAAUACAAGGCCCUGCUCUCCUCGGAAGCCCUGCACUCCCACUUCCUGCAAUCUCUCUACUCAGCAGCAAAUUUCCCUUCAUUAAAAUUAAGCCUCAUUUCUUUCUCAUGUUUUCCUGUUUUCCUCAGCAGAACUGAGUGCAAUCCUCGAACUGUUUUUCUCACAGCUUUAUUUUCUUGUCAUUUCAUAACUAAAUCUUCUUUCCCUCAAAAAACAAUUAAGAGAGUUUAUUCCACCGAUUUUGUCCCUUCUUUCUGUGGGAGAUACAGGUCAAGAAGACCUUGGGUGUAGGCACACGCACAUGUAUUGGCAGGAGGAAGGGGACAGAGAGUGUCUUACAUUAUUUCGUUUUUUGUCUUUUGUCUUUUUAGGGCCGGACCGGUGGCAUAUGGAGCAACCCAAUAAAUGGCAAAAAAUAAAUAAAUUUAAUAAAAAUAAAAAAACAAUAAAAGUUACACAGCUAGUAAUGAACAAAGCUAGGAUUCAAACACAAACUCGAAUUGUUACAAAGCAUCCCAUCUAUCUGCUUUUCACAGCAAUUAGUGAGGACAAAGUGAGGAUCCAGGAGUAAAAACAAGAGAAUGGGGAUCUGGUCACUCAGAAACCUCUAGGUUACCUUAUUCUUACAGAAGGUUCAAGAGCCAGCAAGAUAGACAAGCAAAGGAGAUGCAGCAGAACUGGGCACGUAGGGUCAGAACUCCUGAAAUUCUUUGGCCUCGCUACACCUUGGCAAGCUGGUAAGCAUCACAGGGCAGAGCUUGCCAUGGGCUCUGGCAUGAUCUAGCUGCCUAGGUUACCCCAGGCAAUGACCCUCACCUGCAGGCCUGAUAAGGACAGCCACCCUGAGCCUGGCCUGGAGCCUGGUGCCCCCUGCACAUGGUGGUCAGGCCCAGUACCACUCCCAACAUCCCUUACCCAGGAGAGAUGCUACCUGUCUAGGUUCUCCACUGGAGGGUCAGAACCACCCAGGCCCUCAUUUCAUCCUUCAUCUCAUGUCUGCUUAGGAGUUGGCCUUUUAUUCCCUCUCAUUCUAAUUUUCAAUUACUAGCUAUUUCAAAAAAAAAAAAAAAAUACCGGAAACCAAACAUCUCAUUUUAAAAAGUGCUACAGGGAGUUCCUGUCAUGGCUCAGUGGUUAGUGAACCCAACUAGCAUCCAUGAAGACUCAGGUUCAAUGCCUGGCCUUGCUCAGUGAGCUGGGGAAUCCAGCGUUGCUGUGGCUGUGGUGUAGGUCGCAGAUGUGGCUCAGUUCCCGCAUUGCUGUGGCUGUGGUGUAGGCUGGAGGUUUCAGCUCUGAUUGGACGCCUAGCCUGGGAACCUCCAUAUGCAGUGGAUGUGGUCCUAAAAAGACAAAAAAUUAAAAAAAAAUAAAAAGUGCUACAAUAGUUUCUAUUUUUUUUUAAAUUUUACUUUUAGUUAUUUCCUCUUCUUAAUCCUACAUACUUGUUUUUGAGUUUUUAUGUUAUGGGUUUAGCCUUUUGUCUUCAUCUUUCACUCUUGUGCUGCACUGCCUUCUCAAGCCCUUUAGCUUAUAUCUUCAAACCUCAUGCUAUAUUGUAUAACUCUUAACCUUUUAUCACCAUUGUGGGUGGAACUCUAUUACUUUAAAAUACCACUUUAUUUCUAUUUGCAAUUUUAUCAAUUAUAAAGAAUCCCCUCCUAUUAUAUACAUAUAAAUAUAUAUAUAAAUAUAGUAUACCUACACUUUAUAUUAUAUUAGAGUUAUUAUAUUAUUCUUCCCUUUGCUUAUUUCCUGAGUUUUUCCUAUAUUUGAUUUGUAUUUAUAAUAGCCAACAAAAAGCAGCGUGGUUAUACUGGUAAUUUUUUAAUUUAAAACAUUCCCUCAGGUUCUUUCCAGAUGUCAGGGUCAGAAUAAAACAGACUGAGCCCAGAUCUCAUGGGACAGAGCAUGAGCUACAUGAUCAGAACUAUUCUAACUGCCCUCGGGCUCUACCUGAAGGCCCCCUUAACUAGCUAAAGAACGGCCCCCACAAGCCCUCUGCCCCAAAGACUGGGAGGCCUCAGCCUAAUCCUCACCAAGCCCUAAGCCUCUGCAGAGGGCACUUUCAAUUUACUGGAACAAGUGACUUCAGACCCUCAUCCAUUAAAUAGCUUGAUAAGCAUGAAGCAUCUUGUUAGCAGUUGCGGCAAUCACCAGCAAAGAAGAUGGAUUUGAGCUGACCAAUGGCGGGCCUCUCCUUUUUCCUCUGCCCCAACUCUCCGCUGAUAACAAGGGGGCCAGGCCAAGAAGCAUGCCCGGUGGGGGCCACCUAUGAGUUUGCUGAGGAAGCAGUGAGCUGAUGGUGCAGAAAGACUCCAUGGAAUAGCCUCCCACUCUUCCUCUCCCCUUGCAUCUAUCAGAGUAUUUAUUCAACGCCAUCUGGGUCUUCAGGAAGGUUAGGCCAGGGAUGUGGCAUAAAACAAUCAAUCAAUCCCGGUUACCUAUUAGAAUUCCCUGUAGAGCUUUAGUGAAACAAGUCAAGUACAGCCCAUAUCUAGGCCAGGCCUCCAGGGAGGUCAGUUGAAUUGGGUGGGGGACAGGUGUCCACAUUCUAAAAGAUCUGCAGGGGCUCUGUUAUGCAUAAUGGUUGGGGAUCACUGGAAAUGCGGUCUCCCUUUGAGCAGGUAAGAAUAGUUCAUAGCAUGAUGAUAAAAAUAAUCCUAUUAGCUUUACCAGUAACAAUGAGAAUAGUAAAUCCAAUGACUACAACACCAAUACUACCAUUCAGCUCUAACCUGGGUCAGGGCCAGGGCUGAACAACUUAUCUUCUGAUUGACAGGCAGGGAAUCUGAGGCUCAAGGUCGGAUGACUUAUCUAUGUUUAGCGGGUUGGUCAAAGGCAGAGCCAAGGCUCAAGUCCACAGGCCUGGAAAUCUAACCCUGAACGUCCCAGCUAAAGCAGCUUUCCCCCCACCCCGGCCAGCGGGUGUGGAGGUCAGAGCCUGGCUCUGGUAAAUCAUAAAUGCCAGCAGUUCAGAGACUUGGGGCUUUAAGGCUGCCUGCGACCUCCAGCCUCCAAGGCAGACGGUUUACGAGGCUGCCCUUCAAACAUUUGGGGGCCUUUGGAUGGAGCUUGAGAAGGAGCUGUUGGAACAGGUCUGUGGAUCACGUGCUCACGGCUCUUGCCUCCUGGGUGCAGCCUGUUUGAUGCUGGACCCUCACAUCUGCAACACUCACAAGAAUUCACCUCCCAGCAUGAACUCCAGGCCUGUCAGGCUGGAGUCUGCCCCAUGUGGGAGGUUCCCUGAGCCUGCAUUUGACCUUGGCCCGGCCCUCCACCCUCCAAAUGCUGGUGGCAAUUCUGGGUCCUGCUGUGAAAUGUGCCUGCAGCAAUGGUCCCCAUGGAGAAGCAACAAUGUUGAAGCCUUACAACUGUCUUCCACGAACGGCAGGGCAGUCAUUAUCCUCUUCAUUGUCCAAAAAGGCAGCUGGGGCAAGUGGCUGUGAUCUGCGCAGUCCUACCAAUCAGCAGAGGGCCCCAGGUACCCCGCUUUCUGACAACAAACCCAGGCUCCUUUCAAUGCCUUUGAGUCGGCACUUCAUCCUCGACAGGAAGCCAGGACAUGGCCCUUGGAACAAGGGUAGGGGGACUUUGCAACAUUCAUCCUGGCUGGCUCCACACCCAUGGGUGGCUAUGCGGGCCCUGGAGUGGUGGGGAUUAAAGGAGGUCAAGUGCCUGCAGCCUCCCCAACACCUACUGUUCAAUGAGGGCCUCUGGACCAGUAGACUUUUAGUUGGAGAAUCAGUCAAUUCAACAAUUGAAUAGCACCCUCAAUUCCUCAGCACCAUCCUCAUUCUCAUUCUGAAUCUCUUUAAGAGGGAACACCUUGGACAAUCCCUCGGGCCAGGCAACAAGGGGCCACACAAUGCAGGCCAACAGCCAGGGCCCUGCCAAAGCACAGCUCCCAAGAGUCAGUCCCAUAACCUGUUGACCCCCAGGCCAGAAACUGAGAGCUGCAGAUGCUGCAUGGCUGGGCAAGUCGGCCUAUCAAGCGAAGAGAACAACUGUGGGGCUCCUGAAAGAAGGGAGUCGCCAACCCGGGCCCCUCUUUGAAAGUAGCAGGAUGCAGCUGGCAAGAGAUGCUGAUUCCUAAGGGAACCAGUAAGAGCCAGCAGGAUGCUGAACCCAGGAUGAAACCAGGGGACAAGUUCAGCAAACAAUCAAUAUUGUUAAGAAACAUCAAACCAAGGGGGCUGUUAUCAGGACCGAGGUACUGAGCAGAAAUAGAAAGCAAAGGCCAUGGAUGGAGUGGCCAGUCUGUGGGGCCUGUCUCAGAGAAUCACUAAGUGUUGGGAGUGAGGGGAGAGGGCAGGGGUCCCACCAGGAAUGAGGUGGGAGGCUAAGAGCCAAUGGGGCCCUUGGAAAACAUGGAAGCCUUGCCAGAUCUCAUGGAAUUUUUAUUUAUUUAUUUAUUUUUUCCUAGGGCUGCUCCUGCGGCAUAUGGAGGUUCCCAGGCUAGGGGUCCAAUCAGAGCUGUAGCCGCCAGCCUAUGCCAGAGCCACAGCAACAUGGGAUCCGAGCCGCGUCUGCAACCUACACCACAGCUCACGGCAACGCCAGAUCCUUAACCCACUGAGCAAGGCCAGGGAUCGAGCCCACACCCUCAUGGUUCCUAGUCAGAUUCGUUAGCCACUGAGCCACAACGGGAACUCCAGAUCUCAUGGAAUUUUUAAUUCUUUCUAAUGGUAAAAGAAAGAAAGAAACUCAUGUAGAAGGAGCUAGUGGUUCAGUGCACAGGAGACAGGAUCUGGCAGGUCUAGGGAAAAGUACUGAAGAGUGUGCAGUCCUAGAGAAGUGUUUGAUGUUACUAAGACACAGUUCACUACCUUUCAGAUGAGAGUCAAUACAGAAUCUGUUUCAUAGGGUCAGGUCAUUUAUUUGUUUAUUUAUUUAUUUUGUCUUUUAGGGCCUUAGCCGUGGCAUAUGGAGGUUCUCAGGCUGGGGGUUGAAUCAGAACUACAGCUACCAGCCUACACCACAGUCACAGCAGCACGGGAUCUGAACCAUGUCUGCAACCUACACCACA
rnacentral:lncRNA from 1 species